CUGUAGCAUAAAUAAUAAUUAUGGGAAAUAAAAAACGUAAUAAGAAAAUGGCUCAGCGUAAACUACGGAAACUCCGACAGACAAUAAGUGCCGCCAUAACAAGAGACAAAGGUGCAUUUAAAGAAAACUCUGUUGAUGGGGUUUCAAGACUUAAUGAUGACCAACCCUCAUUACAAGUUCUUGAGUCAACUUCUUCAAUACUUCCAUCAACCUCACAGUAUCAGGAGUAAGUCACGAAUAUACAUUUUCCAUUCAUUAUCAUUAAUACGAAUGACAUUUUCA